UGAGCAAUCUGCCCUUCUCUUCGGAAUAAGCGUUGGAAACGACGUCUAAUGCCGAAUACGACCUCCUUUCGCAUGAUCGGAGGUGGAAAGCUCCGGCGGAGGAGGAUGAGCUCGCGGCCUAUCAGCUAGUUGGUGUGGGUAAUGGCCCACCAAGGCGACGACGGGUAGCCGGCCUGAGAGGGUGACCGGCCACACUGGGACUGAGACACGGCCCAGACUCCGUACGGGAGGNAGCG
rnacentral:rRNA from 1 species